ACAGAAGAGUCUCACACACACACACACACACACUACUAUUACUUGUGAGGUCCGACACACUAGUUACUUAUCAGGUCCAACUAAGUCCACAUAACUUAGGUGACUACAGUGUCACUGAGAGACAGAUAGCUAUUCAGGGGUUCAUUACUGACCAACAAAUCUUCACACGCAACUCUUAGGUGACUACAGUGUCACUGAGAGACAGAUAGCUAUUCAGGGGUUCAUUACUGACCAACAAAUCUUCACACGCAACUCAGUUCCACCGACAACAAGUGGGCCUUCAGCUUUGUCGUUGAUCCUUGGGGAGAAUGAUAUGCGCUCAGAUUUACCAUCACUUGUCUGUGCAGCAAUCAUGAGCAAAUCCUUAACAUAGACACAUACAACAUGUCGCAAAAGCUUGAGGUCUCCACAAUUGUCAACAGUCAUCGCAUCAGCCUCU
rnacentral:lncRNA from 1 species